AACGCACAUUGCGCCCUUUGGUAUUCCGAGGGGCACGCCUGUUCGAGCGUCAUUUAAACCAUCAAGCCCUGCUUGGUCUUGGACGCGGUCGAGUGACCCGUCCGUAACCCGUUGGCGGUGCAGUCCGGCUUCAAGCGUAGUAAGAAUUUCGCUUCAGGAGCCCGUGGCGGCGUCUGCCAGGAAACACCACCCAAAGUUUGACCUCGGAUCAGGUGAGGAUACCCGCUGAACUUAA
rnacentral:misc_RNA from 1 species